GGCACAGAAAACCCAGCAGCACGCACUUAAGUGUUUGCAAUGUAAACUGUCAUCUGCUGCUAAACAUGUUAUUAAGCCUCUGUACGACAGAGGUGGAAUAACCAGAGACCCCGGCCACGGCCCGCAGUCAUGGACUGGAGAGGAGGACAACCUGCUGUCAUGGAGGAUGGGACAGCUCUGGAGCCCUCAGCACUGGAAGGACAUGGAUCUUUUGGAGCGGGGCCAGAGGAAGCCACAGAGAUGCUGGUCUUGGAGCUGUUAAUUCUCCCCGUGGCCCUUCUCUCACCAGCUCUGGUGAAAGCACCAGGCUGCAGAUGGAGGCCAUGCUGGAGCAGCCAACAGAGGAUGGUCAGAAAAGUACAGGAGGGAGAUAAGUAGCUUGACGUUAUCCUCUAACAAGCUAACAUCAUGUGGCUGUUAAAGUCCCCCAAAGAAGAAAUCCUGAAUUCUAUAAACCAGUUGUUAUUUUUCAAAAUGCACAUCCUGGGCUACUUUAUCAUCUCGCUAAGGUUCACUGCCGAUAAUCUCUGGAAAACACAAGGCACAGUCACCCUCUGGAUUUUCACUUCCAGAGGCUGUUAAGUACGGACGGGUGUGAGCGUGAUCACCCUCUGCACAGGCAGCAAAGCCCCUUCCUAAGGGCCUUCUCCUCCCGAAAAUAUUCUAAUUACCAACCAAUGGAAUAGCUGCUUUUCUUCC